GCGGGUGUGGUGGAAUUGGUAGACGCGCUGGACUCAAAAUCCAGUUCCGAAAGGAGUGCCGGUUCGAUCCCGGCCACCCGCACCA
rnacentral:tRNA from 2 species